GGGCCCGCACAAGCGGUGGAGCAUGUGGUUUAAUUCGAUGAUACGCGAGGAACCUUACCAGGGCUUAAAUGUUAGGUGACAGAUCUAGAAAUAGAUUUUUCUUCGGACACUUAACAAGGUGCUGCAUGGUUGUCGUCAGCUCGUGCCGUGAGGUGUCAGGUUAAGUCCUAUAACGAGCGCAACCCCUGUUGUUAGUUGCCAGCGAGUAAUGUCGGGAACUCUAGCAAGACUGCCAGUGCAAACUGUGAGGAAGGUGGGGAUGACGUCAAAUCAUCACGGCCCUUACGUCCUGGGCUACACACGUGCUACAAUGGAUGUGACAAUUAGUUGCAAAUUCGUGAGAAUGAGCUAAUCUGUAAACACAUCCCUAGUUCAGAUUGUAGGCUGCAACUCGCCUACAUG
rnacentral:rRNA from 1 species